rnacentral:snRNA from 1 species
AGCGGGGUAAAGCCAGAGGAA